rnacentral:rRNA from 1 species
CAAUAGCGUAUAUUAAAGUUGUUGCAGUUAAAAAGCUCGUAGUUGGAUUUCUGGUGGGAGCGAUCGGUCUGGCGCUUAGCGCGAGUACUUGCAUCGUCUCCGGCCAUCCUUGGGGAAAGUCUGUCUGGCAUUAAGUUGUCGGGCAGAGGAUCCUCAUCGUUUACUGUGAAAAAAUUAGAGUGUUCAAAGCAGGCUUAUGCCGUUGAAUAUAUUAGCAUGGAAUAAUAGGAUAGGACUUUGGUACUAUUUUGUUGGUUUGCGCACCAAAGUAAUGAUUAAUAGGGACAGUUGGGGGUAUUCGUAUUCCGUUGUCGGAGGUGAAAUUCUUGGAUUUACGGAAGACGAACUACUGCGAAAGCAUUUACCAAGGAUGUUUUCAUUAA